rnacentral:rRNA from 1 species
AUUGAACGCUGGCGGCAGGCCUAACACAUGCAAGUCGAACGAGUGGCGGACGGGUGAGUAAUGCCUGGGAACCUGCCUGAUGGAGGGGGAUAACUACUGGAAACGGUAGCUAAUACCGCAUACUAUCGGAUGUGCCCAGAUGGGAUUAGCUAGUAGGUGGGGUAAAGGCUCACCUAGGCGACGAUCACUAGCUGGUCUGAGAGGAUGAUCAGCCACACUGGGACUGAUACACGGUCCAGACUCCUACGGGAGGCAGCAGUGGGGAAUAUUGGACAAUGGGCGCAAGCCUGAUGCAGCCAUGCCGCGUGUAUGAAGAAGGCCUUCGGGUUGUAAAGUACUUUCGGCGGGGAGGCGUUACCCGCAGAAGAAGCACCGGCUAACUCCGUGCCAGCAGCCGCGGUAAUAC